UACGGAGGGUGCAAGCGUUGUCCGGAAUCACUGGGCGUAAAGGGCGCGUAGGCGGCUCAUGAAGGCUGUGGUGAAAGUCCGGGGCUCAACCUCGGAUCGGCCGUGGCGAACUCGUGGGCUGGAGCACUGUAGAGGCGGGUGGAAUUCCGGGUGUAGCGGUGGAAUGCGUAGAGAUCCGGAAGAACACCAGUGGCGAAGGCGGCCCGCUGGGCAGUGGCUGACGCUGAGGCGCGACAGCGUGGGGAGCAAACAGG
rnacentral:rRNA from 1 species